rnacentral:rRNA from 1 species
UGUGAGGGGAGUGAAAUAGAACCUGAAACCGUGUACGUACAAGCAGUAGGAGCCCACUUGUUGGGUGACUGCGUACCUUUUGUAUAAUGGGUCAGCGACUUAUAUUUUGUAGCGAGGUUAACCGAUUAGGGUAGCCGUAGGGAAACCGAGUCUUAACUGGGCGACUAGUUGCAAGGUAUAGACCCGAAACCCGGUGAUCUAGCCAUGGGCAGGUUGAAGGUUGAGUAACAUCAACUGGAGGACCGAACCCA